CCUACGGGGGGCAGCAGUAAGGAAUAUUGGACAAUGGCCGCAAGGCUGAUCCAGCCAUGCCGCGUGAAGGAUGAAGGUGCUAUGCAUUGUAAACUUCUUUUGUCCCGGAAUAAACCCCUGAUUUCUAUCGGGGCUGAAUGUACGGGAAGAAUAAGGGACGGCUAACUUCGUGCCAGCAGCCGCGGUAAUACGAAGGUCCCAAGCGUUAUCCGGAUUUAUUGGGUUUAAAGGGUGCGUAGGCGGGUUGUUAAGUCAGUGGUGAAAGCCUACAGCUCAACUGUAGAAUUGCCAUUGAUACUGACGAUCUUGAGUAUGGUUGAGGAGGGCGGAAUGUGUCAUGUAGCGGUGAAAUGCUUAGAUAUGACACAGAACACCGAUUGCGAAGGCAGCUCUCUAAGCCAAUACUGACGCUGAUGCACGAAAGCGUGGGGAGCAAACAGGCUUAGAUACCCUAGUAGUC
rnacentral:rRNA from 1 species